AGUUCGUGAAAGAUUUGAUCAACAUGCUGAAUGACCCUAGGAAAACCAAGUCCAAAUACCCACAUGGCUGCACAUUCUUUCUUCAGUAAUAUUUAUUAUUACCAAUCCCUUCAACUCAAGUACUAUGAUUAUUUUAUAUGAUUCAAUUUAUGAUUCUUGAAAUAUUGGUUGUAACUAUACUAUUGGAAUCACAUUCGGUGGAAGCAUGGGUAUGUGAGCUGAAGUGUUAGUCCAAUUGAAUUUUGGGAUGUUCAAAGAGUGAAGAGACUGGUUGGCUUUGUGUCAAAGAAGAAUUGUCAUGUCGGAGGAAGUAUUCCACUUUCUACACCACUUUAAAAGCCACACAUUUCUAUUCAAGUACUAGGUGGUGCAUUCAACCAAAAAUAUGAAUCAACCUCUAUCACACACUGUUGCAGCCUCAGGGAGGAAAUGAGGUCCAAGGAGGAGAAAUUUGAUGCUUACCAUUCUGAGAUGAAAAGAAGUGUAGACCAAUUCCAGAAAGACAUUUCAAGUUAACUGCGACAUGAGAUUGCCAACUGAUGGACCCAAAACGGAUACCCGUUGGUCAAGUUUAGGAAGCUUGAGAUUAGUAGGACCAAAAUGGCAUGCCUAAAACCAAAGAUGCAGAUCAUGGACACAGUGGCUACCUGAUAUGCCCACAUCCCCACGUUGAAUGAAUGUGCCACCUCACCGAAGGGUGUUCCGCAGUUUUGGUUCAUGCCUUGUUGUGUAUCUUCAGUUGUGAAGUUCUCUAAGGAACAAGAGUGAGAAUAAAUGUUUUGUGGUGACUAAACAGAUGGUGGUGCCCAUAAUAUCCAAAGCACUGGGUGAUUAUUGGUUUGUGACACACAUCGACACCGUGAAAGAAAAGGUGUUGAUAUAUGAUUCAAUGAAGUAGGACAGAAACAAGGACGCCUGCUUGAAGACAACUUUGGAGAUGGUAAGUGAAUUUGGAUCACAAUUAUUGUAAAUGUUUAAGAAUGUAUUAACAUUGCAUCUAAAUUUCAUUAUUAACACAUUUGAAUUGCAUGUGCACCUCAUCUUAUUACUCUGGAUGGACUGUUCGAUCUUGCUUCUGCCCUAAAACUUGGACCAAAUUUUUAAUUUGCAAAUCUACUGAUAGAAUUCGCUAAAGAUGUC